rnacentral:lncRNA from 1 species
UUUCUCUCUCUCUGUUGGGUUUUUUUCCUGCCAUGAUUGGUUGAUUUGGAUUUUUAUAUGAUAAUCUGCCAUGUUUUCUUAUGGUUCUCUUAUCUGUAACAGUUUUGCACCCUUCUCUUUGAUUUCGGAUGUGGGCUCCCCAUCAACUAUAUUUUUUUUCUCUCUCUCUCUCACUACCUCAUGUUGGUGGAUUGACAAACUUACUUAUACUCUUUUUAUAUAUUUUUUUUGUUUCUUCUCUUUUUUACUGUUGCUUUUUCUACUCUUUUUGGGUCGCGGCAAUGAUGAAGUGGACAAUUUUUUGAAAAAGCGCCUUUUUUUUU